UACGAAGGGGGCUAGCGUUGUUCGGAUUUACUGGGCGUAAAGCGCACGUAGGCGGAUUGUUAAGUCGGGGGUGAAAUCCUGGAGCUCAACUCCAGAAUUGCCUUCGAUACUGGCUUUCUAGAGGCUGGAAGAGGUUAGUGGAAUUCCCAGUGUAGAGGUGAAAUUCGUAGAUAUUGGGAAGAACACCAGUGGCGAAGGCGGCUAACUGGUCCAGAUCUGACGCUGAGGUGGCGAAAAGCGUGGGGGAGCAAACAGG
rnacentral:rRNA from 1 species